AGGACUCCAAUGCCAUAAAUGUUGGACCUUUUGUUAUAGUCUUACAGGUUCCUGAGACUCUGUGGUCCAUCCAUGAUGUUGCAAAAGGUUCUGUUUUAGUUGUCUCUUGCAUUAUAUCCAAGGCUUUUUAGUCAUGCUUAGCACAUGGAAACAGAGACAAACCUAUACCAUCUUGCUGGGACCAGAUGGUCUGUAUAUAUGCUUGUGUAGACCAAGAAUUUCAUAUAGAGCUUCUCCAGAGGUCGACAUACUCCGUUGUCUUUGGGUAAACAAGUAAAACCUGUUCAAGUGGUUUGCAGUCAUUGAACAAAGAUCUAUUCCCAUUAAAACAAACUCUGUGGGUUGAAAGAACAGUGGCUCCUGGGACAAACUCUUCUUAAUGCAGAGGGUGGGAAUGAGAAAAGCCUGAGAGGUGGUAAUAUUGUUGGAAAGUAUAUCAGACUUGGAAUCCCUCAGCUCCACUUGUUACCAUUCAUGGAAGGCCAGGCAUCAAUGCCAAGGGCACCUUGAAGCAAAGG